GGCCCUGGGACCUAGGAGAGAAGAAUA
rnacentral:piRNA from 1 species